UACAUGGGGUGCAAACGUUGCUCGGAAUUACUGGGCGUAAAGCGCGUGUAGGCGGUUGUCCAAGUUGGAUGUGAAAGCCUUGAGCUUAACUCAAGAAAUGCAUUCAGGACUGGAUGACUAGAGGACCGGAGAGGAUAGUGGAAUUCCCAGUGUAGUGGUGAAAUACGUAGAGAUUGGGAAGAACACCAGUGGCGAAGGCGGCUAUCUGGACGGUUUCUGACGCUAAGACGCGAAAGCGUGGGGAGCAAACAGG
rnacentral:rRNA from 1 species